UACGAAGGGGGCUAGCGUUGCUCGGAAUUACUGGGCGUAAAGGGUGCGUAGGCGGGUCUUUAAGUCAGGGGUGAAAUCCUGGAGCUCAACUCCAGAACUGCCUUUGAUACUGAGGAUCUUGAGUUCGGGAGAGGUGAGUGGAACUGCGAGUGUAGAGGUGAAAUUCGUAGAUAUUCGCAAGAACACCAGUGGCGAAGGCGGCUCACUGGCCCGAUACUGACGCUGAGGCGCGAAAGCGUGGGGAGCAAACAGG
rnacentral:rRNA from 1 species